AUCAUUUACCAAAGUUCUAAAAAAGUCGUGCAUCUCUGUCCUCUAGUAUAAGAAUAAAUCAACAAGAAGAACAAGUAGUGAACGACCUACCUGAAAGCACAAUUUCAAACCUUCAGCUAAUACUCAUUGUUGUUUGUUAAAAUCCAUCAUAUGAUGGCUUCUUCUUCGAAAUCCAAAAGUAUUUACGACGUCUUCUUGAGUUUCAGAGGCACUGAUGUGCGUAACAGCUUCCUUAGCCAUCUCUACCAAGCUUUAGAUCAGAAUGGAAUAUACACUUUCCAGGAUAGCGAGGAAUUGAGAAAGGGAGACCAAAUAUCAGCGACUCUUAUGAAGGCCAUUGAAGAAUCGUGCAUUGCAAUCAUCAUUUUUUCCAAGGACUACGCUUCCUCAUGGUGGUGCUUGGAAGAGACGGCGAAGAUUAUGGAGUGCAAGGAGCAAAAGGACCUCACCGUUCUACCGGUGUUUUACAAAGUGGACCCAAGAGAAGUGAGAGAAGGGAGAGAGAGUUAUAAGAAAGCUCUGGAUAAGCAUGAGGAUAAGUUCAAAAAGGAUCCAGAGAAAGUGAAGAAAUGGAAAAAAGCUCUUUUUGAUGCUAGUAACUUGUCCAGGUGGCAUUUGAAUGAUGAAGAUGAGUCAAAGCUUAUACUGCAAAUUGUGAAGGAGAUUUCCACUCACUUUAACCUAACACCGUUGUAUGUUACUAAGCAUCUGGUUGGGAUAGAGUCUCCAGUUGUUAAGUUGAAAGAGAUGUUAAACCUUGCGUUUGAUAAUGAUGUUGUCAUGGUUGGGUUAUGGGGACAAGGAGGGAUAGGGAAAACAACGUUAGCAAAAGUUCUUUACAAUUCUAUAUUUAGACAAUUUGAUGGUUCAUGUUUUCUCAAAAAUGUUCGAGAAGCUUCGAAAGAUUCCAAGGAUUUAGUUCGACUGCAAAACAAAUUACUAUCUGAUGUCUUAUCACAGCAAAAUGGAUUGGUAGUGACCGAUGCUGAUAGAGGUAUCAAUUUCAUACAACAUAGACUUCGUCACAAAAAAGUUCUCCUUGUCCUUGAUGAUGUGGAUGACUUGCAUCAGUUACAUGCUUUAGCAGGAGAAGGCCAAUGUUUUGGUAAUGGAAGUAGGAUCAUUGUUACUACAAGAGAUAAACAUUUGCUAACUUGUUAUGAAAUUGUUCAAGAUCAUGUGUAUGAAGUUGAACCACUAAGUUACCAUGAAGCUCGUGAGCUGCUUAGCAAUCAUGCUUGUCUGACACUCCAAAAAUUAGAAAUUAGGACAAAUUUGGUGGAUAGUGUUCUGAAUCAUGCUAGAGGAAUUCCUUUAGCACUUGAGGUUCUCGGUUCCUGCUUACGUGGUAAAAGAGAAGAUGUAUGGGAAAGUACACUGAAGAAAGUUUCUAGGAUUCCCAACAAAGCUAUUAAUGAUGUUCUCAAAAUAAGUUACGAUGGACUAGAGGAAAAUGAAAAAGAUAUUUUUCUCAAUGUUGCCUGCUUUUUUAAGGGGAAGGAUAGUGAGUACAUAAAGAAAGUCCUCGAUAGUUGUGAUCUUGAUGCAACCGUAGGAUUCAAUAGACUCAUUGAGACGUCCUUGAUAAGCAUUGACUAUAGAAGAAUACUACAAAUGCAUGACUUGAUUCAAUCAAUGGGUAUGGAUAUUGUGAGACAAGAAUGUCGUGAUGAUCCCAGAAGUCGCAGCAGACUAUGGCGGUAUGAUGAUGUUGCCGAUGCUUUGUCAAGCGAUGUGGGAGAUUGUGCUGUGAAAGCCAUUGUGUUGGAGCCACCUAAACUAAAAGAGCUAAGUAUCCAUCAUAAUGCUUUUCCAAAAAUGAGAAAGUUGAAAUUGCUCAUCAUACGCAAUGUUCAUAUUUCUUUCCAUGGCCUUAUAUGUCUUCCUAAUGAGCUAAGAUGGAUGGAAUUUGAUGGAAGUGGUGCUUGGAUUCCAAAAUUUCCUCCUGGUCACAAGAAAUUAGUAAGUAUUGAUAUGAGGAAAGGCAAUAUCACAGAAUUCGUAAAACACUUUAAGGACUUCCAACAAUUGAGGUACAUUAAAUUGCAUGAUUGCGAGUCGCUCGUUAGUACACCCAACAUCUCAUGCGCUCCAAAUCUCGAAGAAUUGAAACUUUGGAAUUGCAAUAACUUGGUAGAAGCCCAUGAGUCGAUUGCAUAUCAUGACAAGCUCCAGGUCUUGCAUCUUAAAUGGUGCCCUAAACUUUGUGUUUUUCCGAAUGUGCUCAAGUCAAAAAAUCUUCAAGAUCUCAAACUUUCCGAUUGCCCAAAAUUGGAAAGAUUCCCCGAUAUUCCAGAUGAACUCAGAGGCCUGAAAGAACUUUCCAUACGACAUACCGCUUUAAAAGAACUUCCUACAUCAAUAAAAAAUCUUGUCUCUCUAGAGAAAAUACAUUUAGACAUGGGCAAAAACCCUAUAAGUCGUCCAUCUAACAAUUACAACUUACAAAAACUUCAACGGUUCAAAUCUUUUCUUUGCCAAGUCGUGUUUCCAAACCUUUGGAAUUCAGCUGAUCCAUGCAUGAAGAUCGGACUUCCAAAUUCAAAUGUGUCAGACCUUUUAAAUUGUAAUCUAUCCCAAGUAGAGUUUCUUGAGGAUCUUUCUUGUUUCCCCUUGUUGAAAAUCUUAAUUCUGUCGGGGAACAAUAUUACUAGCCUUUCCACAUCCAUCAAGCGUGAUCGCUUGUCCACAUCGUCAAUUAGUAAGGACUUCAAGCAAUUGACGUACGUUGAAUUGAGUGACUGCGAGUCGCUCAUUAUUACGCCCAACCUCUCAUGUGCUCCAAAUCUCAAAGAAUUGAAACUCUGGAAUUGCAAAAACUUGGUAGAAGCCCACGAGUCGAUUGCAAAUCAUGACAAGCUCCAAGUCUUGCAUUUUAAAUGGUGCCCUGAACUUCGUGUUUUUCCAAAUGUGCUCAAGUCAAAAAAUCUUCGAGAUCUCAACUUUUCUGUUUGCUCAAAAUUUGAAAGAUUUCCCGAUAUCCCACAUGAACUUGGAUGCCUGAAAAAACUUUCCAUACUACAUACUGCUAUUAAAGAACUUCCUACAUCAAUAGAAAAUCUUGUCUCUCUAGAGGAAAUGCUCUUAGAUAUUUGCAAAAACUCAGUAAGCAUUCCAUCUAAUAUUUACAAGUUACAAAAACUUCAAUGCUUCAAAUCUGCUUUUGGCCCAAUCGUGUUUCCAAACCUCAUGGAUUCAGCUAAUCCGUGCAUGAAGGUUGGACUUUCAAAUUUAAAAGUCUUAGACCUUCUCAAUUGUAAUCUGUCCGAAGUAGAGUUUCUUGAGGAUCUUUCUUGUUUUCCCUUGUUGGAAAACUUAAUUCUGUCGGGGAACAAUAUUACUAGUCUCCCUAUAUCCAUUAGUAAGCGUGAUCGUUUGUCUAAAUUGUCAAUUAGUUAUUGCCAUCAAUUACAAGAGAUUCCCAAGCUUCCACCAUUUUUAAAUUUAUUGCUCGCGGAUGGGUGCGAAUCUCUACAAACAAAUGGACAUUCAACUUCAAUUGAUCAGUGGGUCCAUCGAGGAUUGACCGUGGUUGACAUUGCUUCAAUUGCCGAGAGAGUAUUUCCUUGCACUACUUUUGUUCUCCCUAAAGGAGAGAUGCCAAAGUGGCUUCAACCAGUUAAAGAUGGUUUUAUAUCUUUCAUGGCUUCAAAGGACUUAUAUGACAAGUUUCUUGGAUUGAUUUUAUGUGGCGUACGUAACAAUGAAGGCGAUUUUUGCGUACUUUUGUUUCAAACAUAUUUUAAUGGCAAAGACUACGGUGGCUACGAAACAAGGGUCUUCAGAUCGGAUCCAGGUGGCAUCCUCAUAAACUAUAUUGCACCAAUGGAAUUAUGGGGAGCAGUCCAUUUUGAUCAAAUUGAUGGGAGUUAUGCACAAUUCAACCUUAAAUUAGAGAGCAAGGAUCAGGGCGUGAAAAAGUGGGGAUUUCGAAUAAUAUGCAAGCAAUUAGAGGACGAUUUAAAAGCUACGCUCCGAGACAAUAAGUUAAUUGAUCCAGCUUUCCUCUACGAGAUUGGUCAUAACUCAAUAGAUCCAGAAGUCGAGAGUUCACAUGUGCAUGGAGACAACCCAAUCGAAAUGGAUCAACUAAAAAACUUGCAAGAGAGUUCACAUAAGCUUGAAAACAGACUGAUCGAAUUUGAUCUAGAUUGUCCACCGAGUUCUUACGAGCAUGAUAAAGUCAUAAACAUGAGACAUCGUGAGCAUUCUCUUCCUGGAUACUUUCUUCCUGGAGACCCGCGCAGCCUGGGGAACAAAAAGUACAAGCUUUGGUUGGAAGAAUAUGGAAACUUGCUAAGGGAGUAAUUCGUACGCUCCACCAUCUUCCGUCGGACACUGGCGAUCUCGACAAAUGCAAGAUCGCCGCUUGGCAAGCGGAGGCGACCACGAAGAAGUCCCUAGCGAACCGACGGGCGACGGAGGCCAACGAGCAGAGGCGACGGACUACCGCCGCUGCCGACCGACGCCAUGGGAACCGGUGGCGUAGCUUCUUCAGGGGAACGAUUCUCUCCUGAGGUUCUUAGCUUCGUGCAGCUUGCUAUAUAGAUCGGGUAACACCUGGCACAUCCAGAUUGUAUCGAGUCGAUGCAAUACUUGAGCAGGAUUUUGAAUUUGAUUCGUUUGGUGCUGGAGUUGCCCGGGAACUUGAAGAAUGUGUCAUUGAAUUUGUUCAAGAGACGCUGAAUGAGUGUUCUCUUCGGAAGUUUAGUUUGUCGAUGCUUGGUAGUGAAUUCAAUGGUAAGCGACGUUGCACGCUGCAAAAUCAGGGACAAUCCCUAGAAGGCGAAACUUGCUUUCGACGACCUUGAAGUUCUAGUUGGGUAAGAAACUGGUUUUUGGAAAACAGCUGUGUGAUUGUUGAGGAUGGGCAUGUUAUUGCAGCAAGAAGAAACCCGACUAGUGAGACACAAAAUGCAACAAGACAUGCAGAGAUGGAAACUCUUGAUAUUGUUUUUGAAUAGUGGCAAAGGACUGGAUUAUUGGCUGCAGAAGUUGCAGAGAAGUUUUCAGUAUGCUCUCUUUAUGGGACAUGCGAACCUUGCACAAUGAAAAUAAAUGGAGUAAUGGAAAUUCUAGAUCAAAGGGUUUCAAAUGUUGUGGAGGUAUAAUGGCAUCGAAGCAAUUCCUCUUCUGAGAUUUU